UCCCAGCAUUGUCAUCAACAUUAUAUGUAGUUGCUCCAGGCUUAGCAACUUUCAUCUUUACCUGGAGUUCCCCAAUUUUUGUAAAAUAACAUAAUAUAUUUAUGUUAAGUAGGUGUUUUAAUGAUUCUACCACCUCUAUUUUUUCCAUUCUCAUUCAAUAAUAACAUAAGUCAUUCACAAAGAAAAAUCAGAAACUAAUAUAAGCAUGUAAGAUGCAUAGUUUCAAAUUAAUUACCAUUAAUUUCUUUUUUCUGUUCUUUGUCAAGUAUUGUCUUCUCAACAGAGUCAUAAUCCUUUCCCUUUUUCCCGUCAUUGUCUACAUCAAAUUUUUUAUUCUGUUUCAUCUACUUAUGGUCCUUUUCUUUCUUUUUCAUUCCAGUUUCAUGCCAAAGAUAUUGUAG
rnacentral:lncRNA from 1 species